rnacentral:rRNA from 1 species
GUGAGGAAUUUUCCGCAAUGGGCGAAAGCCUGACGGAGCAAUGCCGCGUGAAGGAUGAAGGCCUAUGGGUUGUAAACUUCUUUUCUUAGAGAAGAAUAUUGACGGUAUCUGAGGAAUAAGCUUCGGCUAACUCUGUGCCAGCAGCCGCGGUAAGACAGAGGAUGCAAGCGUUAUCCGGAAUGAUUGGGCGUAAAGCGUCUGUAGGUGGAUUCAAAAGUCUCCUGUCAAAGAUCAGGGCUUAAACCUGGGCCGGCAGUAGAAGCUCUGAGGCUAGAGUUGGGUAGGGGCAGAGGUAAUUCCCGGUGGAGCGGUGAAAUGCGUAGAGAUCGGGAGGAGCACCAAAGGCGAAAGCACUCUGCUGGGCCACAACUGACACUGAGAGACGAAAGCGAGGGGAGCAAAAGGGAUUAGAUACCCCUGUAGUCC